rnacentral:rRNA from 1 species
GAUGAACGCUGGCGGCGUGCCUAAUACAUGCAAGUCGAGCGAACAGACGAGGAGCUUGCUCCUCUGACGUUAGCGGCGGACGGGUGAGUAACACGUGAUAACCUACCUAUAAGACUGGGAUAACUUCGGGAAACCGGAGCUAAUACCGGAUAAUAUAUUGAACCGCCUGGUUCAAUAGUGAAGGACGGUUUUGCUGUCACUUAUAGAUGGAUCCGCGCCGCAUUAGCUAGUUGGUAAGGUAACGGCUUACCAAGGCAACGAUGCGUAGCCGACCUGAGAGGGUGAUCGGCCACACUGGAACUGAGACACGGUCCAGACUCCUACGGGAGGCAGCAGUAGGGAAUCUUCCGCAAUGGGCGAAAGCCUGACGGAGCAACGCCGCGUGAGUGAUGAAGGUCUUCGGAUCGUAAAACUCUGUUAUUAGGGAAGAACAAAUGUGUAAGUAACUAUGCACGUCUUGACGGUACCUAAUCAGAAAGCCACGGCUAACUACGUG